rnacentral:rRNA from 1 species
GACAGAGGCCCCAAGCGUUAGGCGGAAUUACUGGGCGUAAAGCGCACGUAGGCGGAUUUGUUAGUCAGGGGUGAAAUCCCGGGGCUCAACCUCGGAACUGCCUUUGAUACUGCAAGUCUCGAGUCCGAUAGAGGUGGGUGGAAUUCCUAGUAUAGAGGUGAAAUUCGUAGAUAUUAGGAAGAACACCGGUGGCGAAGGCGGCCCACUGGAUCGGUACUGACGCUGAGGUGCGAAAGCGUGGGGAGCAAACAGG